AUAAACUUCACAUCAAAAUUGCAUCUCAUAUGAUGCAGAAACUACACUUUUUCUGUUGAGGCAUUUAAAAGAUUACAUAAGCAAGUAACUUAGAUGAUCAUAAGACAAGUUACGUUUGACUUGCAUUGCCAUACUUCUUCACAAAGCUAAGUCAAAAAUAGUACAUGCAGAUAUGAGACAGAAUUUGGAUUAAAUGAAAAGAAGUUCAAGUAUUUUUGAUGCAUUAAAGUACAUUGCAG
rnacentral:misc_RNA from 1 species